ensembl:lncRNA
CUGUUAUAAUGAUGGGUUGUGCUGGUUCAUGUUCUGUGUCCGGAGUCUGACUUCUGAAUUGCCAUUGUACAGCUGUUAUGAGUGCUGGACAGAAUUCCAGACUACAAGACUGCAAUCCCUGAUGUGCCUUGAGUUCAGGUAGGCGCAUUGUAAAAUGUCAGCCUGUUAAAUGUGCACCUGUCAUUAAAACAUAUGCAUUCUUAGACCUGUACCAAAGCCCCCUAGGAAGGGAAAAUAAUGCUGUUUCAGUUGCAGACAAUUUCAGCCUGUUGGCAUGGCCUCCUAUUAAUACGUUACAUAUAAAAAUGGCAUUUAAUGUGCCAAGUAGUCAAAUCUGUUUUCCGUCCACAGACAUGGGUAGUUCCAGGAUCUCGGGCAUUAAUUGGUUGUUGCCCCUUUGUGGUCAGUGGACUUGCAGUCUUUACUGAACUCACUGGAGUUUACUGUCCUCACUGAAGAUUGUGGCAGUUCUGGGUUGCAGAGUUAUUCAGGUGUCAUGAGGCUGAGAAGGGAUGUUACUAAGGUGAAUUUUGGUUUGUUUUGUACUACUGAGUAGUUCCAUGACUAGUCCAGAGCUCUUAACCAGUAAGCCCCUUUGGUGCUUGUUUUAACCGGCUAUGAAGAUGUGCUGAAUUGUUUGGCAGAUGGUAGUUCUAGUCUGCCAUAACUCUGGCUCUCAGUGAUGACCUCUGCAUGUGUCUUACGCCCUGUGCCAACAACAGAACCUGUGAAGGUGAACCCACUGUUGUUGCCAGGGCAACAAGGGGAUGGCUUGUUGGGGUUACCAACUGUCUGAUGGGACCAGAGAAUAAAAUCUGCGUUUAGCUGUGAAAGAGCUGAAUUGAUUGUAGUUCUAAAACUAGUAACUGAAGCUUAACUACUUGUCUUGCAGAUGUUCCCUCCGUUAUGCAACUAAGCCUAGAUGGACUCAAGGUUUGUAUUUUUGCUUUCCAGUAACCGCAUUCUUGCCCUUUGGCGCAAGGCCCUUCUGUACUUAUUGGCCCUGAAGUGUCCUGAAAUGAUGACUUUCAUAUACCGCCCCAGUCUGAUGUAAAACUGACUGAUUGGUUACUGAACUGAUCUUUGCAGACAGUUUUGCUGCUGGUGUGCUGCCAUUCAGUGGGAUGUCAAUUAAAGUCUACUUCCUUUCAGGUUCUGCCUUCCAGACCAGUAAUUUGAAAAUAUUUGCUGUGGACAGUGAAGUCUAAAGAACCCCCUCAACCAGCAGUGAUGUCUUGCUGUGGUUGGAACAUUGCUGGCCAUUUCAACACUUUUAACCUUAAACAUGGAUUUCUAACAUUUCCAUGUUUUCUUUUGUGGUAAAUUAAUGUGAGUUAGUAGUGAACUUACAGCACUGGUGUGUUUGAUGGGUCAAUAUUGCUGUAAAUGUUGAUGCAAAUUUUUGUCUUUGUCGCCAUCUGCAUGCUGUUCUGUAGGACACAAUUGGAUGUUGAUGGAAUGACUUAAAUAUUAGCUACAGCUGAUGCGUAAGUGGAGUAAUGUCUGCAUACAUUUAUCAAUCUUGAGCUGCCUGGCAAGGGUGUUGUAAUGCUGCUGCUCUAUGAAGUGUAUAGUUAAAAUGAAAUGAUUAGGGGUGAAAACAGUCAUUGUUCUGGAGCAUGUGGAUAUGCUACUUGUCUAAACAAGAAUAAAACAUUGUCAUAAUAUGGAUAUUGCCUGAUUUCUUGAUGGGUUUUUAGGAUCUUUCAUCCAUGGAGGCACUAGCCAGGGUUUGUUCAUUUUAUAAAUACUAUUAAGCUUUGUUCCAAUACAAUUUUAUUCGCUACCUGGCAGAUGGUGGUACGUUUAAUUUAAUGCAGACAAAUGUAACUCGGUCUGUAUAUAAAACAAAACUAAGUUUAAUUUGUAUAGUCUUCAUGGACUGUUAAAAUGCUGUUUAGAUGGUCUAAUGCAUCAUGUCCAGAACAUUCUAUUAGCUGUUACCUAAUGUAAGGUAAUUCAUACAUACAUGUUAAUGCACUGUUUGUAGUUCUGUUGCAGUUGUAAUGGAAAAGCUUAACAAUCAUUUGAACGAAAUCCCUUUUUAUAAAAACAAACUUGACAGACC